GUUCUGUAAUUUUGGUUAUAAGUACAAGGUGUGUUGGUGUAAAAAUUGAUGCUGACUGAACUCAGGCAGUUGUGCUGGACCAUCUGUACCUAAUACAGGGGAUGACAGUAAACUUCCAAGUUUAAGAGCCACCUGAUGAUGAGAGAGACAAUUUCAAUAAGAAGAGUCCACAGUCACAAUAACAAGAUCAUUGAGCUGUCCCCUAAUUGUGGUGAGCUACAUGUUUAGUCUCUUAUGUGCUAAACAUUAUGUAGCCUAAGGAAGCAGCCCUGACUCUGGAGUUAAUAUGAAGGAGCAUGCUGAGUAACUAUCCAGAAUGUAGGUCCAUAGCAGAAAAAAGUGCACCAAGCAGAAACAUACCAUCUAAACUCCUUCGAUUCCUGUCAGACCAGAAAGACUUUCAGAAUCCUUGGAAGAUUUAAA